rnacentral:lncRNA from 1 species
UCAUCAUUAGCUUUAGAUAAAGAGCAUUCCAAAAUCUCUUUAUCCUUUUUUAGUUGACCCCAUGAAGCGCAACUCUGAAGAUAAGCUACGAUUCUGCUGCUCCAAAUGAACCCUGUAGUUCUUCUAUAAUCCCUUGAGCACUCUCAUAUUGGUCUUUCCAAUUUGCUGCUUCAAGUAAUGCAUCCUCAGCUAUUUUCCUAGCUUCGGAGAUAGCCUUUGUAGACUCACGAUCGUUU